GACGAACGCUGGCGGCGUGCUUAACACAUGCAAGUCGAACGGUAAGGCCCUUCGGGGUACACGAGUGGCGAACGGGUGAGUAACACGUGGGUGAUCUGCCCUGCACUUCGGGAUAAGCCUGGGAAACUGGGUCUAAUACCGGAUAGGACCCUGGGAUGCAUGUCCUGGGGUGGAAAGCUUUUGCGGGGUGGGAUGGGCCCGCGGCCUAUCAGCUUGUUGGUGGGGGGAUGGCCUACCAAGGCGACGACGGGUAGCCGGCCUGAGAGGGUGGCCGGCCACACGGGGACUGAGAUACGGCCCAGACUCCUACGGGAGGCAGCAGUGGGGAAUAUUGCACAAUGGGCGCAAGCCUGAUGCAGCGACGCCGCGUGAGGGAUGACGGCCUUCGGGUUGUAAACCUCUUUCAGCACCGACGAAGCGCAAGUGACGGUAGGUGCAGAAGAAGGACCGGCCAACUACGUGCCAGCAGCCGCGGUAA
rnacentral:rRNA from 1 species